rnacentral:rRNA from 99 species
AGAGUUUGAUCAUGGCUCAGAUUGAACGCUGGCGGCAGGCCUAACACAUGCAAGUCGAGCGGUAGCACAGAGAGCUUGCUCUCGGGUGACGAGCGGCGGACGGGUGAGUAAUGUCUGGGAAACUGCCUGAUGGAGGGGGAUAACUACUGGAAACGGUAGCUAAUACCGCAUAAUGUCGCAAGACCAAAGUGGGGGACCUUCGGGCCUCAUGCCAUCAGAUGUGCCCAGAUGGGAUUAGCUAGUAGGUGGGGUAACGGCUCACCUAGGCGACGAUCCCUAGCUGGUCUGAGAGGAUGACCAGCCACACUGGAACUGAGACACGGUCCAGACUCCUACGGGAGGCAGCAGUGGGGAAUAUUGCACAAUGGGCGCAAGCCUGAUGCAGCCAUGCCGCGUGUGUGAAGAAGGCCUUCGGGUUGUAAAGCACUUUCAGCGGGGAGGAAGGCGGUGAGGUUAAUAACCUCAUCGAUUGACGUUACCCGCAGAAGAAGCACCGGCUAACUCCGUGCCAGCAGCCGCGGUAAUACGGAGGGUGCAAGCGUUAAUCGGAAUUACUGGGCGUAAAGCGCACGCAGGCGGUCUGUCAAGUCGGAUGUGAAAUCCCCGGGCUCAACCUGGGAACUGCAUUCGAAACUGGCAGGCUAGAGUCUUGUAGAGGGGGGUAGAAUUCCAGGUGUAGCGGUGAAAUGCGUAGAGAUCUGGAGGAAUACCGGUGGCGAAGGCGGCCCCCUGGACAAAGACUGACGCUCAGGUGCGAAAGCGUGGGGAGCAAACAGGAUUAGAUACCCUGGUAGUCCACGCCGUAAACGAUGUCGAUUUGGAGGUUGUGCCCUUGAGGCGUGGCUUCCGGAGCUAACGCGUUAAAUCGACCGCCUGGGGAGUACGGCCGCAAGGUUAAAACUCAAAUGAAUUGACGGGGGCCCGCACAAGCGGUGGAGCAUGUGGUUUAAUUCGAUGCAACGCGAAGAACCUUACCUGGUCUUGACAUCCACAGAACUUUCCAGAGAUGGAUUGGUGCCUUCGGGAACUGUGAGACAGGUGCUGCAUGGCUGUCGUCAGCUCGUGUUGUGAAAUGUUGGGUUAAGUCCCGCAACGAGCGCAACCCUUAUCCUUUGUUGCCAGCGGUCCGGCCGGGAACUCAAAGGAGACUGCCAGUGAUAAACUGGAGGAAGGUGGGGAUGACGUCAAGUCAUCAUGGCCCUUACGACCAGGGCUACACACGUGCUACAAUGGCAUAUACAAAGAGAAGCGACCUCGCGAGAGCAAGCGGACCUCAUAAAGUAUGUCGUAGUCCGGAUUGGAGUCUGCAACUCGACUCCAUGAAGUCGGAAUCGCUAGUAAUCGUAGAUCAGAAUGCUACGGUGAAUACGUUCCCGGGCCUUGUACACACCGCCCGUCACACCAUGGGAGUGGGUUGCAAAAGAAGUAGGUAGCUUAACCUUCGGGAGGGCGCUUACCACUUUGUGAUUCAUGACUGGGGUGAAGUCGUAACAAGGUAACCGUAGGGGAACCUGCGGUUGGAUCACCU